GCUCAGCUAACCGCUACAACCCCUGUGCUGACUCAGGAGCAGCGAAGACAAACCCACGCUGUCCUCCGAAGGGUGUGCCAUCAGCCGACUGCUUCUUUUCACACUGCAGGCCCACCAUGCAGCCGCCUCAGAGCUACAGCAUUGGAGGACAACGCAGCUCUGGGCAGCUUACAGGGAAGUGACUGAUGGGACUCAUUUACAACGACGGGAGAGUUACUGCUGAUUACGAACCAGUGGCUGCCAAGUCCUAAGCUCAUUAAAUUCAGCUGAAAAUUGAUGAAAAUAGCGGCUGUCCAAAUUGACACAACAUGGGCCCACAUGAAGAUAGUGAUUUACAUAUCACGUUGGUUAAGACCUCUGAAAUGUUACUUAAAAGCUGAAGGUUUCCUCAAAUAGAGCAAUUUUAUAACCAAGCAUUGUACAUCUAUCAGCACACUCAUUCAUUCCAGCUUCAAUUUUAAUGCAAAUAUUCAAAUAUGAGCGAUGUGGACAGUUGGCUCUCUCAACAGCAAAGAAGCCUGGAAAUGUAAUCCCCUUCCCUUUAGCAGCAAUGAGCAGUGAUAUGCUUCAGCAGAUUGAAGGAGAUCAUCCUGCAGCCACCUGAGCCAGCUUCAAACAAAUACAUUGCAACAACAUAUAAAGCUGACAAGACAGGAAUAUGAAUGGGAAGUAAUAUGACAGUUGGGUGGUUUGAUUUUGUGUUGGGUCACACAGUUGUUUUUUAUUGAGUGAUUGAUUGGUUAAUUACAGUACAGUAGAACCAUAUCCAGUCCUGUAAGAUACGAUACCCUCCUAUUAACCGAUGGCAUGUGUUAUUUGCACGUGCUGCUUCUACCUGAAUGGUACAGAUGGAAAGUGAUCAAUGCACAUUUUAUAAUGGGUCUGAAACAGUAGAUUCAGCUCUCAGCAGGGCAGAAUGGAUUCAGUUGCAAAUGAAAAAAAAAGCUGUCACUUCACAUAAAACAAACUGCCCAUUUUAACCACGUCCAAUAAAAGAAAACACGAAAACAAGAAAGCAGGGGAUUCAUAUCAUUUCUGUGCCGUUAACAAGAUUUUUUCACUGACCUACAAAGCCAGUUUGUGUUUGUGUGCGCCUGUUGGGUUGCUGGUAAAAUGCCAUUUCUGCCUCAGGAUAACUUGGGCACGGACUGAGAGAGCAUGGUUUUUGGAAUAAUGUUUUGUAAAUUGCCAAAUAUUGAUUACAGUGCUUUGUUCUUCAAUAAUUUCUCACUGAUUUCCUUUCUACAGUAUACUUGCAGUAACUUUGGUGUUUCAGACACACUGAUGUACCUCACAUUGUUAAUUCAUAACGCCCAACGUUAAAAAAGCAACUACAAUGAAGUAUAGUGACACCUUCUGAGAUGGGAUAUUUUCACAUAGCUGAUUUCAAUGUAGGGCAGCAGUGUGGAGUAGUGGUUAGGGCUCUGGACUGCUGCUGUACACUUGAGCAAGGUACUUUACCUAGAUUUCUCCAGUAAAAACCCAACUGUAUAAAUGGGUAAAUGUAUGUAAAAAUAAUGUGAUAUCUUAUAACAAUUGUAAGUCGCCCUGGAUAAGGGCGUCUGCUAAGAAAUAAAUAAUAAUAAAUAAUAAUAAUGUUGUAUAGCGACUCCCUGUGAGAUGGGAUAUUUUCACAUAGCUGAUUUCAAUGUAGGGCAGCAGUGUGGAGUAGUGGUUAGGGCUCUGGACUCUUGACCGGAGGGUCGUGGGUUCAAUCCCCAGUGGGGACACUGCUGCUGUACACUUGAGCAAGGUACUUUACCUAGAUUGCUCCAGUAAAAACCCAACUGUAUAAAUGGGUAAUUGUAUGUAAAAAUAAUGUGAUAUCUUGUAACAAUUGUAAGUCGCCCUGAAUAAGGGCGUCUGCUAAGAAAUAAAUAAUAAUAAAUAAUAAUAAUAAUGUUGUAUAGUGACUCCCUGUGAGAUGGGAUAUUUUCACAUAGCUGAUUUCAAUGUAGUAUAGUGACUCCCUCUGAGAUGGGAUAUUUUCACAUAACUGAUUACAAUGUAGUAUGGCGACU